CACACCUGUACCCAUUCCGAACACAGAAGUUAAGCAUCAUCGCGGCGAAGAUAGUACAUUGUGCGAAAAUAGCUCGUUGCCAGUU
rnacentral:rRNA from 1 species